rnacentral:rRNA from 1 species
AUUGAACGCUGGCGGCAUGCCUUACACAUGCAAGUCGAACGGCAGCACGGGUGCUUGCACCUGGUGGCGAGUGGCGAACGGGUGAGUAAUACAUCGGAACGUACCUUAUCGUGGGGGAUAACGCAGCGAAAGUUGCGCUAAUACCGCAUACGCCCUGAGGGGGAAAGCGGGGGACCGUAAGGCCUCGCGCGAUUAGAGCGGCCGAUGUCUGAUUAGCUUGUUGGUGAGGUAAAAGCUCACCAAGGCGAUGAUCAGUAGCUGGUCUGAGAGGACGAUCAGCCACACUGGGACUGAGACACGGCCCAGACUCCUACGGGAGGCAGCAGUGGGGAAUUUUGGACAAUGGGGGCAACCCUGAUCCAGCAAUGCCGCGUGAGUGAAGAAGGCCUUCGGGUUGUAAAGCGCUUUUGUCUGGGAGCAAAUCCUGGCCUCUAAUACAGGUCGGGGAUGAGAGUACCAGAAGAAUAAGGACCGGCUAACUUCGUGCCAGCCGCCGCGGUAA